UACGAAGGGGGCGAGCGUUGUUCGGAUUUACUGGGCGUAAAGGGCGCGCAGGCGGCUUAUUUUGUCAGGCGUGAAAUCCCGAGGCUCAACCUCGGAACUGCGUCUGAAACUACUCGACUAGAGUACUGGAGAGGGUAACGGAAUUCACGGUGUAGCAGUGAAAUGCGUAGAUAUCGUGAGGAACACCAGAGGCGAAGGCGGUUACCUGGACAGUUACUGACGCUCAGGCACGAAAGCAUGGGGAGCAAAAGGG
rnacentral:rRNA from 1 species